rnacentral:misc_RNA from 1 species
ACGCAUCUCACGCAUUCGCAUACAGAAUUUCGCAUAACGUCUAUUAAAUAUCAUUCAAGAAUAGAAAACCAAAGAGAGACAGGUGCGAUACAGAUCAUGACGCGCUCUUACAUAAUAUCUCUAUUACAACUUCAUUUUGAUAUAAUACCUAGCAGAAGCUGCCUUACAAUCGAUUAAAAUCCAUCGUUAUAGCUCUCGGAGAAAAAAUUCGAGAUUCGUUAUUGUUACGCUAUUGCUGCACUUCGAAUACGUUUUUCUACUUUUUCACUUUUCAUUGUAAAACAAUAAAAAUCAAAACAUUCAAUGUUGGUUUUCGUUUUCUUUUUUUUUUCACGCUUUUUUUUAUAUUUUGUAUUUUUUUGUUUACUUUCUCUUUAUUCUGGCUAAAAUCUAUUUCAAGAUUUGACAAAAACCGAUACCGCGAUGCAAUUCGAGUGUCAUGUCAAAUGUUCAGAGAACAACGUGUUUCAGACAGAGAGGUUAUAGAGAGAUGAAUUCGGAAACUGUACAAAUCACGUUUGGUCAUGUAAAAAAAAUCCAUUUACAUUAAUUUUGACCGUUACGACAUUAUUAAUGUAAAAGCAUUUUAUUUUACGCAAAUGACUAUGUUUUUGUUUGUUCUAUAUACAAUUAAUUAUUAAUUACUAUUAUCUUCAAGUUACCAAUUUUUAAUGUUUCUGAAACUAUGCAAGAUAAAAGAAAGCUUAAUUAAUUCACUGUAACUAGAAUUUUACGUAACUUCCAGAAAUAAGAGAAUCUGUAGAGGAUUAAUAAGAAUUGCACUAUUUUCCUAUGGAUAAAAUUACUAUCGAGUCGUCCGCCUGUGAAGACCGUGUUGAGAAUGAUGUUGUUCAUUACGCGCGAGAGUCGACGACGACGACGACAUCCGUAAUACGGUGGCACCCGUCGACGAUGCCUUGUCUACGCAGCACCGCGAAAUACUUCAUGUUCGCGUAACGCGAGUUGUAAAAACGUAAAAGUGACGAAAUAUAUCGCGGUACAUCAACAUUUCUAGCCAAAAUCUAUGCGUUUCUUAUAGCC